rnacentral:rRNA from 1 species
UACGUAGGUGGCAAGCGUUGUCCGGAAUUAUUGGGCGUAAAGCGCGCGCAGGCGGGAUAUUAAGUCUAUCUUAAAAGUUCGGAGCUCAACUCCGUGAGGGGAUAGAAACUAAUAUUCUUGAGUACAGGAGAGGAAAGUGGAAUUCCCAGUGUAGCGGUGAAAUGCGUAGAUAUUGGGAGGAACACCAGUGGCGAAGGCGACUUUCUGGACUGUGUCUGACGCUGAGGCGCGAAAGCCAGGGGAGU